AGAGUUUGAUCCUGGCUCAGAACGAACGCUGGCGGCAGGCUUAACACAUGCAAGUCGAGCGCCCUCGCGAGGGGGAGCGGCGGACGGGUUAGUAACGCGUGGGAACGUGCCCUUUGCUCUGGAAUAGCCCUGGGAAACUGGGGGUAAUACCGGAUGUGCCCUGAGGGGGAAAGAUUUAUCGGCAAGGGAUCGGCCCGCGUCUGAUUAGGUAGUUGGUGUGGUAACGGCGCACCAAGCCGACGAUCGGUAGCUGGUUUGAGAGGAUGAUCAGCAACACUGGGACUGAGACACGGCCCAGACUCCUACGGGAGGCAGCAGUGGGGAAUCUUGGACAAUGGGGGCAACCCUGAUCCAGCCAUGCCGCGUGGGUGAUGAAGGCCUUAGGGUCGUAAAGCCCUUUCGCCGGGGAAGAUAAUGACGGUACCCGGUAAAGAAGCCCCGGCUAACUCCGUG
rnacentral:rRNA from 1 species